rnacentral:rRNA from 1 species
GACGUAGGGCGCGAGCGUUGUCCGGAUUUAUUGGGCGUAAAGAGCUCGUAGGCGGCUUGUCGCGUCGACUGUGAAAACCCGUGGCUCAACCAUGUGGUCUGCAGUCGAUACGGGCAGGCUAGAAUUCGGUAGGGGAGACUGGAAUUCCUGGUGUAGCGGUGAAAUGCGUAGAGAUCCGGAGGAACACCGAAGGCGAAGGCAGUGUCCUGGCGAGUGACUGACGCUGAGGUGACGAAAGCCAGGGGAGCGAACGGG